GAUGAAGAACGUAGCGAAAUGCGGUACGUAAUGUGAAUUGCAGAAUUCAGUGAAUCAUCGAAUCUUUGAACGCACAUUGCGCCCGCCAGCACUCUGGCGGGCAUGCCUGUUCGAGCGUCAUUUCAACCAUCAAGCCCCAGGCUUGCGUUGGAGCCCUGCGGCUGCCGCAGCCUCCUAAAAGCAGUGGCGGGCUCGCUAUCACACCGAGUGCAGUAGAUUACUCUUCGCUCAGGGCGUGCAGCGGGUUCCGGCCGUGAAACCCCCUACUUUUAAAGGUUGACCUCGGAUCAGGUAGGAAUACCCGCUGAACUUAAGCAUAUCAAUAAGCGGAGGA
rnacentral:misc_RNA from 1 species